ensembl:lncRNA
UGAAAAAAUAGAUCAUUUUAAGGCUGCUGAGAAACAUAACCAAAAAAAAAAAAUGAUAUAAUUGCAGUUAUUGGAGCAAGAUGGAAACAGCAACAUUCCUGGCUUUAAGGCCGUCAGAGCGUUCCCUCCAAUUCCCUCUUAAAUAGUCGAGAAUAAGGAAUUAAACGGUAAGUACAUAUUGUUAGCAAGGUCAAAUCUUCGUGGUUCCACAACCUUGAAGCUCAAUGGAAAGCUCAGUUAUUCAAAUUUAGGAUGGAGUUCUUUGAAUCGCCCAGAUUUUCCCAAGCUUUACAUUAGCAUAUGCAAGGAGCGGCCUGUGCUGCUGUUUUCUAAAGUGGAUGUAAAUUAUAACCUCAGUAUUAUACAGGCUGAUGGGAGAUAAAUCUCUGCAGUAAUGCAUUGCAGUGAAUGGUGAAUGGGGGUGGGGGGUGGUAUUGUACAGGGUCUGAAGUGUGUGUGUGUGUGUGUGUGUGUGUGUGUGUGUGUGUGUGUGUGUGUGUUACUGUACAAUAGCCCGUGGCAGAUGGAACACAGACAAGCACUUGCUAAUAGUCAUGCUAAACUCUCUUUUCACUGGCUUUAGUUUCUACAGAUUUUUCCAUAAUUUCUGAGACAAAUUAGAAAUUUUAAGUCGGAUGCAAAAACUAAAAAGAAAAAGAAAAGAAAAAAAGAAAGAAAGGGAAAAAAUAUGCGUUUCAAUGUUGGUGAAAGAAUUUUGAAAGUGUGCGCACAUCGUUUUAAAACAAAUAUUAACACAGGGAGAUUACUAAGUCGAAAUUUGCACUUGUGCGGUCCAAAAGGCUGAGAGGCUUCAGGCCUCGCGAGCAGAGUGGAGAUCUCUUUGGAAUCCCUAUGCAAACUAGGGCUUGAAUAAUGAGAUGUAUUUAUGAAGGGCUGGGAAGGGGGUCCUGCUUUUGAAAGCCAGUAGGCUGGAGCCUGAAUGGGAUAGAAGGAGGAGAAGGGUUGGUGUGUGUGUGUGUGUGUGUGUGUGUGUGUGUGUGUGUGUGUGUGUGUGAGAGAGUUGGGGGGGAUCUUGAACAAGGGGGAACCAGGGUGUGUAUGUGUGUGUGUGUGAAGGGGGGUACAAGGGGCCCCCAGCAGCCCAGGCCUCGGCCAGGCAGCUGUGAAAAGGGGUCCCGUCUUUUUCCCACGCCCAGCAAGACGCGAAACACUGCCGCAGCUCGCUAGGGUCAAGUCCCAUCGCUAAUAUAUACACACAUACAUGCACACGCAUGCACACACACAUACAGCAAAGAGCUUGUUAAUUUGCAAAAGUUGUGCAAAUUAACAAGCUGUCUGGGAAGCUCUGCGACACGGGGACACCUGCUAUUCUCCCAGAAUGCUUUGCACUCCCAUCAAGGGGCCACUGGGCCUUGAUGAGAGAACAAUUAGGUCAUAAC